rnacentral:tmRNA from 1 species
GGGGCCGAUUUGGAUUCGACGACGGUUACAAAACUGGAGGGGCAUGCCGAGUUGGUAACAGAACUCGUAAAUCCACUGUUGCAAAACUAUAUAAUUGCCAAUGACGACAAUUAUGGUGCUCAACUAGCUGCGUAAGCAGCCUAGAUAGCACUUCUGGUAGCUUCGGCUCCAGCGAUCAUUAGAGGAUGCCUGUAAACUCGAAGUGAUUGUCAGAUAGAACAGGAUCGCCGCCUAGUACGUUGUGGACGACGUGGCUAAACAUUACACAACUCGCUCCAAGCACCCUGCCACUCGGGCGGUGAGGAGUUAACUCAGUAGAGAUGGCUAAGCAUGUAGAACCGAUAGCGGCGGACUGGCGGACGGGGGUUCAAAUCCCCCCGGCUCCACCA